rnacentral:sRNA from 1 species
CCACGCUGAGCCUGCGGGACUGCAAGCUGCAGGAGGCCAAGUUUGAGCUGAUCACGUCCGAGGCCUCCUACAUCCACAGCCUGUCGGUGGCUGUGGGCCACUUCUUAGGCUCUGCCGAGCUGAGCGAGUGUCUGGGGGCGCAGGACAAGCAGUGGCUGUUUUCCAAACUGCCCGAGGUCAAGAGCACCAGCGAGAGGUUCCUGCAGGACCUGGAGCAGCGGCUGGAGGCAGAUGUGCUGCGCUUCAGCGUGUGCGACGUGGUGUUGGACCACUGCCCGGCCUUCCGCCGAGUCUACCUGCCCUAUGUCACCAACCAGGCCUACCAGGAGCGCACCUACCAGCGCCUGCUGUAGGGCUGGGGACUCUGAAAGGGGCGGGGGCGUGGAGGGAGUCUCAGGCAGGUGUAGGCACUGAGGGCUGGGUGAUGCAAGGUGACUCUGGGAGGGGAGGGGUCCCUGAAAAGAUCUCUAUGACCAGGAUAAGGUGAAAUGCAACCCCAAAGGGCAGUAAGGAUGUGCUGAGAAGCCCCCUGAGGACCCCGUGGAUGGCCAGGGUUGUGGAUCCCAGGAAUUCAGGCCUACCUGUGAUUCCAGAGCCCUCCCCAUUUUCCAGCCUGGAGAACCCCAGGUUCCCUGGCAUCCUGGCUCGCCUGG